GAAAUAAACCUGAUGAGUUGCUGCUGGUUCUCUAGGGAGCAUGUGCACACUUGUCAUCUUUAUAUCUCCACCUGUGAACCUUUUGUAGACCUGGAUAUCUCUCUGAAUGCCUGACAAAUUCGGGUUUGAGGAUUGAUUUUUUUUCUUUCCUUGCAUUUUCAGGUCUAUGUUUUUUCAUAUACCCCCAUGUAUGUUUAUAGAAUGUAAUAAACAGGCCUUUGUGCCUAUAAACUUAUACAACUUUCAGCAACGGAUCUCUUGGCUCU
rnacentral:misc_RNA from 1 species